rnacentral:lncRNA from 1 species
CCACUUGUGUCUCCUUCAUGCGUGCCUGUUGUUCUCCUCGUUGUCAGCAACAUCACUUCUAUUCCAGAUUUUGUUGUUGAAGAUAUCGUCACUGCUUGCAAUAGCAGUUGUCUUCGCGCUUGCCUCUUACGACCAUCGUUUCACACUCGUCAUCAUUGCACCCCCUAUUGUUGUGUUCGUCGUCACCAAAUCUCGCUUUUAAUUCCAAAUCUCACGCGACAAAGCUUCAAAUGACCAACGGAGCUCGGGUCACCACCAUCUAUCGCUCACCUUCAACGACACUACU